CGUAGGGGGCAAGCGUUGUCCGAAAUUAUUGGGCGUAAAGCGCGCGCAGGCGGUGGAUUAAGUCUGAUGUAUAAACCUGAGGCUCAACUUUAGGAGGCAUUGGAAACUGGUUGACUGGAGUGUAGGAGAGGAAAGUGGAAUUCCACGUGUAGCGGUGAAAUGCGUAGAGAUGUGGAGGAACACCAGUGGCGAAGGCGACUUUCUGGCCUAUAACUGACGCUGAGGCGCGAAAGCGUGGGGAGCAAACAGGAUUAGAUACCCUGGUAGUCCACGCUGUAAACGAUGAAUGCUAGGUGUUAGGGGUUUCAAUACCCUUGGUGCCGAAGUUAACACAUUAAGCAUUCCGCCUGGGGAGUACGCUCGCAAGAGUG
rnacentral:rRNA from 1 species